rnacentral:lncRNA from 11 species
CAUAGAGUAUACAACAAAACCACUGAACUAAAUCACACCAAAUUUGGCCACAAAAGAGUGAGCACGUUUUCAGAUGUUGCUGACAGAUUUACACAAUUUAGAGUUUAGUCCCUUGGUUAGCACAACCAAAUACACUUGACUUCUGUCAUGUGUUCUAAUUGCAGCCAGAGUACGUUACAAUGGCAAAACACUCUCUAAUACUUUCUAUGUAAAACUGCAAUUAAAGUCUGUAAUCUGAAUGCAAAUACAAGCAUUAUAUUUUGAUUAAAGCUUGAUUAAUUGUUAAAAAAAGAGUGAGCACCCACUGUUAGCCCC